AGUGCGGAGGGAUGCGGCGCUUCGGCGAGCACCCGUUGUGUGGGAACUCCGUCUCAAGUCGCCCCCAUUGUACGGAUGAAGGAAUCGAAGCCACGAGCCAGAAUUUCCUCACUCGCAACUCGAGAAUAAAUUGCGCCUCCCUGAGUGUGGAGGAUUAAAUAAGUAGUUUAAGGCGUGUUUAAAGAGCGCUUGUAAGUUGCCAAGUCGCUGGAGAGCCAGUCCCUUAUCCCUUGAACCAGGUGAUGCUGACGUCUGAUUUCAAGACAGUUCCUACCCCUCGUGGAAGGAAAGCCCCAUCGCAAGAAGUCGAUGUCCUGUAAUUUACGUUAUAAUCUUCGCAUCAUAAAGAUUACUCGGCAGUAAUUGGUUUCUUGACUAAUUAUACAAGAUGAGAAUUGAAGAACUAUUUUGAGCCACGCAAUCAGGAAUCAGAUACCUUUCAGGAAAAGGCCUCUUCAAAACUGCCAAACUUUGAAAAAGGAUUCGUUUGAGCUGAUUUCUCUUGAUUGGACAACUAAGCAUUGUGUCUCUUUAGUUGCAUGAUACCUUAUGGCCAAAGUGUGGUAUAUGACUAGAGGAACUAGAGGGGUUUAAGGUAUGAACUGAGGGUCAGGUGGCCAGUCAGAAUGGGUUAGCAGACAUUUUUUAUUUUUUUGAGACGGAGUCUUGCUCUGUCGCCCAGGCUGGAGGGCAGUGGCACGAUCUCGGCUGGCUACAACUUCCGCCUCCCAGGUUCAAGCGAUUCUCGUGCCUCAGCCUCCCGAGUAGCUAGGAUUACAAGUACGUGCCACUAUGCCCGGCUAUUUUUGAAUUUUUAGUAGAGACAGGGUUUCACCAUGUUGGCCAGGCUGGUCUCGAACUCCUGACCUCAGAUGAUCCACCUACCUUGGCCUCCAAAAGGGCUAGGAUUACAGGUGUGAGCCACCACAACCGGCCUAGCAGACAUCUUUGAAUGGACUUAAAAUAGAUAUCCGUGGGAUCUGAAACAAAGAUGGUUACAAAGACACAGUCGGGUGUGACAGCUGUGACCAAGGUGACAUAAAUUAUUACUAAUUUAUUUAUUUAUUGAGAUGGAGUUUCGCUCUUACUGCCCGGGCUAGAGUGCAAUGGUGCAAUCUCGGCUCAACACAACCUCCGCCUACCGGUUUCAAGCGAUUCUCCUGCCUCAGCCUCCCGCGUAGCUAGGAUUACAGUCAUGCGCCACCAUGCCUAAUUUUUUUGUGUUUUUAGUAGAGAUGGGGUUUCU
rnacentral:lncRNA from 10 species